rnacentral:rRNA from 1 species
GAUGAACGCUGGCGGCGUGCCUAAUACAUGCAAGUCGAGCGAACAGAUGAGGAGCUUGCUCCUCUGACGUUAGCGGCGGACGGGUGAGUAACACGUGGAUAACCUACCUAUAAGACUGGGAUAACUUCGGGAAACCGGAGCUAAUACCGGAUAAUAUAUUGAACCGCAUGGUUCAAUAGUGAAAGACGGUUUUGCUGUCACUUAUAGAUGGAUCCGCGCCGCAUUAGAUAGUUGGUAAGGUAACGGCUUACCAAGGCAACGAGGCGUAGCCGACCGGAGAGGGUGAUAGGCCACACUGGAACUGAAACGCGGUCCAGACUCCUACGGGAGGCAGCAGUAGGGAAUGUUACGCAAUAGGCGAAAGCCUGACGGAGCAACGCCGCGUGAGUGAUGAAGGUCUUCGGAGCGUAAAACUCUGUUAUUAGGGAAGAACAAAUGUGUAAGUAACUAUGCACGUAUUGACGGUACCUAAUCAGAAAGCCACGGCUAACUACGUG